rnacentral:sRNA from 1 species
GCUAGGUGCUGUGUCGCUCACCUGUAAUCCCAGCUGCUCAGGAGGCUGAGGUAGGAGGAUGGCAGGUUCAAAGCCAGCCUUAGUGAGGCCCUAAGCAACUCAGCAAGAUCCUGUCUCAA